rnacentral:rRNA from 1 species
CUUGGUCAUUUAGAGGAAGUAAAAGUCGUAACAAGGUUUCCGUAGGUGAACCUGCGGAAGGAUCAUUGCAAAACUGUAGGGGGGGGGGAAUUUGUUGGAAUGUGAUUAAGAGAAUAUACAAAAUUGAACUAUGUUAUACAACUCUCCACAAUGGAUCUCUGGGCUCUUGCAUCGAUGAAGAACGCAGCAAAACGCGAAAUGUGUUAUGACAUGCAAUCUUUGAGAAUCAAGAAAUUUUUGAACGCACCAUGUACCCUGCAAAGGGUAUGCUUGUUUGAGUAUGAAAGCGGAAUUGGAGAGUACGAGGAUCGUUUCUCUGAAAAGCAAAGAUAUGGUGCGCAGGUUAGGGUACGUUUUGGGAUAAACCUUCGAGACGGACUGUAACUUGCUCACUCGCGUGAAAUACUCACCUAUUUCACACACUAUACUUACUCAUCUCAAAUCAAGCAAGAUUACCCGCUGAACUUAAGCAUAUCAAUAAGCGGAGGAAAGGGCUAUCCGGG